CCUACGGGUGGCUGCAGUGAGGAAUAUUGGUCAAUGGGCGCGAGCCUGAACCAGCCAAGUAGCGUGAAGGAUGACUGCCCUACGGGUUGUAAACUUCUUUUAUAAAGGAAUAAAGUGAGGCACGUGUGCCUUUUUGUAUGUACUUUAUGAAUAAGGAUCGGCUAACUCCGUGCCAGCAGCCGCGGUAAUACGGAGGAGCCGAGCGUUAUCCGGAUUUAUUGGGGUUAAAGGGAGCGUAGAUGGGUUGUUAAGUCAGUUGUGAAAGUUGGCGGCUCAACCGUAAAAUUGCAAUUGUUACUGGCAGCCUUUCGUACAGUUGCGGUAGGCCGCAUUCGUGGUGUCGCGGU
rnacentral:rRNA from 1 species